AGGAUAAUAGUUAAAUAUAAUAUUUGAUUUGCAUUCAAAAGGUGUUGGCCUGCCAACUUAUCUUA
rnacentral:tRNA from 2 species